GCGGCGAGGCCUACUUCAAGGCAAGUCGAAGCGAACUGAUUUAGAAAGCUUGGCUUCUAUGACGUUAGCGGCGGACGGGUGAGUAACACGUGGGCAACCUGCCUGUAAGACUGGGAUAACUUCGGGAAACCGAAGCUAAUACCGGAUAGGAUCUUCUCCUUCAUGGGAGAUGAUUGAAAGAUGGUUUCGGCUAUCACUUACAGAUGGGCCCGCGGUGCAUUAGCUAGUUGGUGAGGUAACGGCUCACCAAGGCAACGAUGCAUAGCCGACCUGAGAGGGUGAUCGGCCACACUGGGACUGAGACACGGCCCAGACUCCUACGGGAGGCAGCAGUAGGGAAUCUUCCGCAAUGGACGAAAGUCUGACGGAGCAACGCCGCGUGAGUGAUGAAGGCUUUCGGGUCGUAAAACUCUGUUGUUAGGGAAGAACAAGUACGAGAGUAACUGCUCGUACCUUGACGGUACCUAACCAGAAAGCCACGGCUAACUACGUGCCAGCAGCCGCGGUAAUACGUAGGUGGCAAGCGUUAUCCGGAAUUAUUGGGCGUAAAGCGCGCGCAGGCGGUUUCUUAAGUCUGAUGUGAAAGCCCACGGCUCAACCGUGGAGGGUCAUUGGAAACUGGGGAACUUGAGUGCAGAAGAGAAAAGCGGAAUUCCACGUGUAGCGGUGAAAUGCGUAGAGAUGUGGAGGAACACCAGUGGCGAAGGCGGCUUUUUGGUCUGUAACUGACGCUGAGGCGCGA
rnacentral:rRNA from 2 species